GACGAACGCUGGCGGCGUGCUUAACACAUGCAAGUCGAACGGAAAGGCCCUGCUUUUGUGGGGUGCUCGAGUGGCGAACGGGUGAGUAACACGUGAGUAACCUGCCCUUGACUUUGGGAUAACUUCAGGAAACUGGGGCUAAUACCGGAUAGGAGCUCCUGCUGCAUGGUGGGGGUUGGAAAGUUUCGGCGGUUGGGGAUGGACUCGCGGCUUAUCAGCUUGUUGGUGGGGUAGUGGCUUACCAAGGCUUUGACGGGUAGCCGGCCUGAGAGGGUGACCGGCCAAAUUGGGACUGAGAUACGGCCAAGACUCCUACGGGAGGCAGCAGUGGGGAAUAUUGAACAAUGGGCGGAAGCCUGAUGCAGCAACGCCGCGUGCGGGAUGACGGCCUUCGGGUUGUAAACCGCUUUCGCCUGUGACGAAGCGUGAGUGACGGUAAUGGGUAAAGAAGCACCGGCUAACUACGUG
rnacentral:rRNA from 1 species